rnacentral:tRNA from 2 species
AGGGGCUUAGGAUGGACCAGACCAAGAGCCUUCAAAGCUCUCAGCGGAGGUGAGAACCCUCCAGCCCCUG